rnacentral:rRNA from 1 species
GAUGAACGCUGGCGGCGUGCCUAAUACAUGCAAGUCGAGCGAACGGACGAGAAGCUUGCUUCUCUGAUGUUAGCGGCGGACGGGUGAGUAACACGUGGAUAACCUACCUAUAAGACUGGGAUAACUUCGGGAAACCGGAGCUAAUACCGGAUAAUAUUUUGAACCGCAUGGUUCAAAAGUGAAAGACGGUCUUGCUGUCACUUAUAGAUGGAUCCGCGCUGCAUUAGCUAGUUGGUAAGGUAACGGCUUACCAAGGCAACGAUGCAUAGCCGACCUGAGAGGGUGAACGGCCACACUGGAACUGAGACACGGUCCAGACUCCGACGGGAGGCAGAAGUAGGGAAUCUUCCGCAAUGGGCGAAAGCCUGACGGAGCAACGCCGCGUGAGUGAUGAAGGUCUUCGGAUCGUAAAACUCUGUUAUUAGGGAAGAACAUAUGUGUAAGUAACUGUGCACAUCUUGACGGUACCUAAUCAGAAAGCCACGGCUAACUACGUG